rnacentral:lncRNA from 1 species
GUCCUGGCAGCAAAAUGCUGUGCAGUAGAGAAGGACCGCUGCAACUGGCCCAACUCGGGAUAAAAAAUAGCAAAUGUGAAAAGACACAGAAAGGAUACCCCUUCACUGAGACAGAUGGUGAAAGAGCCAGAAUUGCAUUUGCGGGAGUGACUUCUGGGAGCCUGAAGCAAGCUGGUAGAGGAGAAAGGAAAACUCAGAUUAGUUACAAAAAUGCUUGCACACCAUGAUUGGUUUACCACCACGCAAGGAACAACAAUGGUGGUGAGGACUCAAGGACUUCCAAUGAAAGGCUGGUAUCUGGAAUUGCUUCCACAUCAUCACUUUGGGGGUGGUAGCUUCAUUUAAAUGGGUGUUUAUGUCGGCCGCAUAUUAGUACGUAAACAUUUUUUAACAAAAACAAAAUUUCUGAAGUCCAGAGGAUCAAUUCAAUUCAAAUCAUAUUCUUAGCCUCUUUAUAAGGCACCAUGAUGGCCCUAUGAUGAAGAGAAAAAUGAAGGAGACCGUUCUUUGCCCUCAUGGACCUUAGAGUCAAAUAAGAGAGUGUUUUCCCAACUUUUUGACAGAAAUCCAGUGUUAGAAAUACUAUUUAUAUCACAAGCCAAUACGUGGAUAUACAUAUGAAACAAAAGUAGCACAAAAUAAAUAUUUGCCUCUUUUAUAG